GAGAAGAACGUAGCGAAAUGCGAUAAGUAAUGUGAAUUGCAGAAUUCAGUGAAUCAUCGAAUCUUUGAACGCACAUUGCGCCCGCCAGCAUUCUGGCGGGCAUGCCUGUUCGAGCGUCAUUUCAACCCUCGAGCCCCCCCGGGGGCCUCGGUGUUGGGGGACGGCACACCAGCCGCCCCCGAAAUGCAGUGGCGACCUCGCCGCAGCCUCCCCUGCGUAGUAGCACACACCUCGCACCGGAGCGCGGAGACGGUCACGCCGUAAAACGCCCAACUUCUUAGAGUUGACCUCGGAUCAGGUAGGAAUACCCGCUGAACUUAAGCAUAUCAAUAAGCGGAGGA
rnacentral:misc_RNA from 1 species